CACCUACGGGAGGCUGCAGUGGGGAAUUUGGACAAUGGGCGCAAGCCUGAUCCAGCCAUGCCGCGUGCAGGAUGAAGGCCUUCGGGUUGUAAACUGCUUUUGUACGGAACGAAAAGACUCUUUCUAAUAAAGAGGGUCCAUGACGGUACCGUAAGAAUAAGCACCGGCUAACUACGUGCCAGCAGCCGCGGUAAUACGUAGGGUGCAAGCGUUAAUCGGAAUUACUGGGCGUAAAGCGUGCGCAGGCGGUUAUGUAAGACAGAUGUGAAAUCCCCGGGCUCAACCUGGGAACUGCAUUUGUGACUGCAUAGCUAGAGUACGGCAGAGGGGGAUGGAAUUCCGCGUGUAGCAGUGAAAUGCGUAGAUAUGCGGAGGAACACCGAUGGCGAAGGCAAUCCCCUGGGCCUGUACUGACGCUCAUGCACGAAAGCGUGGGGAGCAAACAGGAUUAGAUACCCUGGUAGUCCACGCCCUAAACGAUGUCAACUGGUUGUUGGGUCUUCACUGACUCAGUAACGAAGCUAACGCG
rnacentral:rRNA from 1 species